rnacentral:rRNA from 1 species
CCUUACCUGGCCUUGACAUACUAAGAACUUUCCAGAGAUGGAUUGGUGCCUUCGGGAACUUAGAUACAGGUGCUGCAUGGCUGUCGUCAGCUCGUGUCGUGAGAUGUUGGGUUAAGUCCCGCAACAAGCGCAACCCUUUUCCUUAUUUGCCAGCGGGUUAAGCCGGGAACUUUAAGGAUACUGCCAGUGACAAACUGGAGGAAGGCGGGGACGACGUCAAGUCAUCAUGGCCCUUACGGCCAGGGCUACACACGUGCUACAAUGGUCGGUACAAAGGGUUGCCACCUCGCGAGAGGAUGCUAAUCUCAAAAAGCCGAUCGUAGUCCGGAUCGCAGUCUGCGACUCGACUGCGUGAAGUCGGAAUCGCUAGUAAUCGCGGAUCAGAAUGCCGCGGUGAAUACGUUCCCGGGCCUUGUACACACCGCCCGUCACACCAUGGGAGUUUGUUGCACCAGAAGUAGGUAGUCUAACCGCAAGGAGGACGCUUACCACGGUGUGGCCGAUGACUGGGGUGAAGUCGUAACAAGGUAGGCGUAGAUGA